GCCAGCAGCCAUAUCACCCUUCAACUCACAACUGGCAACCCACUGGAGCUCAGCAGGUGUGAGCCUGGUCAGUAGCUGGAUGGGAGACCUCCUGGGAAAAACUAAGGUUGCUGCUGGAA
ensembl:rRNA 5S_rRNA 5S ribosomal RNA